AUUAUUUCAGUAAAUAGAAAAAAGAAAACUUUCAUAUUAUAUUUGAGACAAGCAUAAUAGUGUUCCUGAAAACUGAGCAACUAGACAGUCUAAUGAUACAUCUUGAUUUUUUUUUUUUGCUUUGAAAUUUAGAAACAAAUUUUAUUUAAGAUAUGAAAUACGAUUCCUAAAAUAUCAACCUCUCCGGAAAACCAUGGCUACACAAUAAUGCAUUGGCUCUAUCAUGUUAGAACGUGCAUUAGACUCAAAUACAAAAACCAUGAAACAAACCACCAUCCUUCAACAGCUUGAGCAAAGAUAGAAUGAAUGCCUAAGGAACAACACAGAUGGACUCGCAGAGGAUGGGCUGUUUUACUUCAAGCACCAUAAAAAAAAGCACAAAUGCAUGGGUUUUUCGGGUAUAUACAUUAAGUUGAACCUUUGGCACUAGGAAUCAGGGCAUUUUUCACGUAGCAUUAACACAUAUUAGAAAAUUGUGUAGUGUCAAAGGGAUAGAACCACAAGCAUUCAAGCAAUGUUGUCAACUAGGCAAUAAAAUGUUCUACUGAAUGCUUCUUCUUUGUCUAAUCACUGCAUACACUGGCAGCAACUUUGAAAUGAGAAAAGGAGCUUACACUCCUUUCAUUUUCUGUUUAGGAGAAAACAGAAAACAAACUGAAACAUAAGCCCUGUUAUACAUUAACGAUUUUAAAGAGUAUCAAUUAUACAAGAAAAAGACUAAGAACAAAAAGAGCGUUUACAGAUACCAGAUGUAACAGUGAGUGGUCAGUAGACCCUCACAGGGCUUUGCGGUGGUACUCAGCAGAAGCCACUUUAUAAUUGCUGGCAGUGAACAGAGACGCAGCAUUUUUUGCCAGGUAUUUCAGGAAAUCAUGCAAAUAGCCCAACAAUAAUGCAAGGCUCUUCUCAUCAAGGGGUGUGUAUGCCAACAUUGCCUUGUGAUCUUUUGCAGUUGGCGUAUUCUUCCAAAAUAGUAUCCACGUUUUUCUUGGCUGGGAGUUGGAAAAGUUGCUUCUGCCUGGUGACUAAGUCCCAGUCCUCAACAAGCCAUGGUUUUAAUUCUUCUGGAAUCUUCACCUUAACUUCCAUUCUAUUCUUAAAAGCAUCCUCACUUUCAACUGUGGGGUCUGCCCGGGCCCUUUUCUUCCGAGGUGGCUGGGGUGCUUCGCUGGUGCUGCCACCAUCUCCGUUCCCAGGGGUCUUCUGUUUGUUCUUUCUGGUUUUCCUCACCGAUCCUGAUGGAGGGCUCUCAGCAGAGCGACCCCCCCCCCCCAUCUGCCUGGGAGUGCUGCUUCCAGAUUCUUCUGCUGGGGACCAGCUCUCUUCUUUCCAGAUGUCCCUCUCAUUUUACUUCUUUGCAUGUUGCUUCUAGUUGAUUUUUUGAAAUUGUCUUCUUCGGCGGAUUGGUGUCCACGAGUUUGAGAACCCUGCUUUCUGGAACUCAUUCAACCUUGUUUUUAUUCCAACCAGCAAUCCUCUUCUUUCCCUGCCAAGAACUCCUAGUGUUUUCCCAGAUGGAAUCUUAUAGAUCUUCUGGGAUGGUCGUGGAGAUGAGGUGAGAGACACAACCCAAGAUUCUAUAAUGAGGGAUGUUCUGCAAUCAGGAUCAGAGCUGAUCCUCACUACACAGCAAACUUAGUUUUUCUGAUGGUAGCCUGAAACGAGGAUCCAUUUCUUUUCAACAGAAGACGUGUGAUCACUGCCGUCGUCUCUCCAACCGCCAUAGUCUACAUCUUGAUUUUUUUAAAUACUAUUCACUACUAAAAGAAAUUUGGACUCCUUGGAAAGAGAAAGGAUUUACUAUCUUGGCAAAAGAAAUACAAGUUGUAAUGAUAUAGAAUUCAACUUAAAGUAGCUUGUGAAGUGAAGUGAAAUUCCCUCAGUUGUGUCUGACUCUUUGUGGCCCCAUGGACUGUCCAUGGAAUUCUCCAGGACAGAAUACUGGAGUGGGUAGCCUUUCCCUUCUCCAGGGGAUCUUCCCAACCCAGG
rnacentral:lncRNA from 1 species